AAUCCCAGAUUAUAAACGUCUUGUGGGUAGAGACCGUUUCUCUCUCUUCUGUAUUUCAUGGUUCAAUCUUAAGCACAGUUGUGUGUUUUCUUACUUGUUGGAAAGAGGGUGAUAUGCUGGAGCCCAGAGAGCACAUGGAGCCUCAUAACAUUUCCCUGAAACAUUCCAGGCAGUAAAAGUGUAAAGGUAAAUGAUAGUUCCGAACCCAGAAGAAUCCCGUAUUUGGCUGGACAGGCCAGGGUCCUCUGGAAGUUUCUGAGAUUGUAAUAAGAAAUAUUUAUAGCUAUAGGCAACAUCUUUUUCCACAAACAGUAUUUCAAAGAAACUAUAUGGAUUCCAAGUUCUCACCCGAUCCGUGUUAAAUUAGAGCACUGCUGAGGAAUUUAGGCGAUUUUAAAUUUUAUUCUUUCUUGUUGCUGCUUUUGUUGUUUUUUAGUAAGUUCUGCUUCAUUAGUGUGUCCUGAACCAAACUUAUCUAGGAUAAUGGUCAUAUUCAACUGGUACAGAAGUUGGCCUGGGAAUAUUUAGUGCCAUUUUUCAGGCUCUCUUCAAAGAGGAAAAGGAAGAGAGGACCGAGCCACAUCGUGGUAUUGGAAAAAUAUCUUCAUCUCUUUUUCAAACAUUUUGAGAUGAGAUGCCAGCUCAGUGUGUGGCCUGUGCCUGGAGACAAAGGAUGGGAACCCUGCUCAAAAUUAACAUAGAUGAGCUUUCAGACCCAUAAUGAGCACAGUGAUAACAAUAAAAGUGGCCUGCGUGUCUGUCGUGUUUUUGACGGAUUUCAAAUGUUUUACAUAGUCUUAUGAUCAGAUAUUUACAUUUGCAGAAGAAAUGCAAUGGUCAGAGCAGGCUCCCCUCCCCUUUAUGUGGGUGGAUGAGAGCGUCGUUCAUGAACAUGCACACUUUAAUAUGCAUAAAAUACUCUAAAGACAGCGAAACAACGGGAAGACCUCCCGGAAAUCUGCAGUCCCCUUGAGGACAUGAAAUUUGCACAUGAAACCACGUGCAAAUAAAUAUAAAACAACGUGUCAAAAAGGACAAACUGAUAUACGUAGUCACUAUUUUUAUUUAGUAUUUUUGAAAUCAUGGAAUUAAUUUUUUUAAAUUUAAUAUUAAUCAUCCCAUGCUCGUUAUGUACGUAGUCACUAUUUUUAUUCAGUAUUUUUGAAAUCAUGGAAUUAAUUAUUUUUAAUUUAAAUUUAAUAUUAAUCAUCCCGUGCACAUUAAGAAACUAAACAAAAUAAUGAAGAUUAAAAUAGCUAUUAGCUGCAAUCCACCACUCAGGAAAAAGAAAAGGAAUCAUGUAACAUUUUAAUGCAAUUCUUCUGGUCCUUUUAAUUUUUCUAAAGCUUAUAGACUUCAUUCAUAGAAAAGGGCUUCACCCAUACUCUAUUUCUUUACUCUCUUUUAAAACAACAACAACAAUGUGGCAUAGUGUUAAAUACAUUCACAUUGUUGUGCAACCAAUUCUGAUCUUUAAAAAAGGACAUAUAUACAUGAAUAUGAUAGAUUUUUGAUUACACUUGUUUUUUUAAUGUUUAUUAAUUUUUGAGAGAGAGAGAGAGACAGAGCAUGAGUGGGAGAGGGAGACACAGAAUCCGAAGCAGGCUCCAGGCUCUGAGCUGUCAGCACAGAGCCCGAUGCAGGGCUCGAACCCCUGAACUGCAAGAUCAUGACCUGAGCUGAAGUCAGACACUUAAUCGACUGAGCCACCCAGCCACCCCAAGAUUAUACUUUUUUUUUUGUAAGGAAUACUUUUUUUUUAUAAGUAAUGUUUUUUCUUAGUAUCAAAAAUAAUCCAUGUUCGGUACAGAGAACUUAGAAAAUACCAGUUAUCCUAACACGGAAGACUAAUUAAUGUUAUAUUGUACCAGUUAUCCUUCUAGCAUUUUUCCAUGUGAGCACACGUAUCUGUUUAAGGUAUGUUGGUACAUCAUUUGCAUUUGAAUUUAUAAAGACAAAAUUAUAUCAGAGGUUUCAAAUACCUUCUCCUUUAGGAUUAUCUUGUAAGUUAUGUGAUACAAACAAAUCUGUACAUGUAGUUUU